rnacentral:rRNA from 1 species
UGCAAGUCGAACGGUAACGAUACUAGCUUGCUAGUAGUCGACGAGUGGCGGACGGGUGAGUAACGCGUGGGAAUCUACCUAGUAGUGGGGGAUAGCCAAGGGAAACUUUGGGUAAUACCGCAUACGAUCUACGGAUGAAAGGGGGCCUCUCUUUGAAGCUCUCGCUAUUAGAUGAGCCUGCGUAAGAUUAGUUUGUUGGUGGGGUAAUGGCUCACCAAGACUACGAUCUUUAACUGGUCUGAGAGGAUGAUCAGUCACACUGGAACUGAGACACGGUCCAGACUCCUACGGGAGGCAGCAGUCGGGAAUAUUGGACAAUGGGGGAAACCCUGAUCCAGCCAUGCCGCGUGUGUGAAGAAGGCCUUAGGGUUGUAAAGCACUUUUAAUAGGGAGGAAGGCUCAGUAGUUAAUACCUACUGGGAUUGACGUUACCUGUAGAAAAAGCACCGGCUAAUCUCGUGCCAGCAGCCGCGGUAAUACGAGAGGUGCAAGCGUUAAUCGGAAUUACUGGGCGUAAAGCGAGCGUAGGCGGUUUAGUAAGUUGGAUGUGAAAGCCCCGGGCUUAACCUGGGAACUGCGUCCAAAACUGCUAAACUAGAGUAUGGUAGAGGAUGGCGGAAUUUCCUGUGUAGCGGUGAAAUGCGUAGAUAUAGGAAGGAACAUCAGUGGCGAAGGCGGCCAUCUGGACCAAUACUGACGCUCAGGCUCGAAAGCGUGGGGAGCAAACAGGAUUAGAUACCCUGGUAGUCCACGCCGUAAACGAUGUCUACUAGAAGCUCGGAACCUCGGUUCUGUUUUUCAAAGCUAACGCAUUAAGUAGACCGCCUGGGGAGUACGGCCGCAAGGUUAAAACUCAAAUGAAUUGACGGGGGCCCGCACAAGCGGUGUAGCAUGUGGUUUAAUUCGAUGCAACGCGAAGAACCUUACCUACACUUGACAUACAGAGAACUUACCAGAGAUGGUUUGGUGCCUCGGGAACUCUGAUACAGGUGCUGCAUGCUGUCGUCAGCUCGUGUGUGAGAUGUGGGUUAGUCCCGCAACGAGCGCAACCCUAUCUAGUGCUAGCAGUAUGCUGAGUACUCUAGAGACUGCCGUGAUAACCGAGAGGUGGUGACGACGU